UUUUUUUUUUUUUGGCCUUUAUAUUUUUAUUCAAGUUUGUGUUGCUUUAUAGAUACAGACAAUGAUUGCCUAUCAUUUAGGAAAGGAAAUGGCAGAGAACAAAUCUGUCUAAGGUUAUUCUAGAAGCACUUUACUAGUUUUCACUACAGCUUUAUAAUUAUGUUUUAAUUAUUUUUGAGCAACUUCUAUUAGAUUUUGUUUGUUGUUUUAAUAAUGAUUUUUAGUUUUCCAUUAUAGUUGGUUUAUAGUGUUCUGUCAAUUUUCUACUACUGUACAGCAAAGUGAUCCAGUCACACAUACAUACAUAUAUAUAUACACAUUCUUUUUCUCACAUUAUCAUGCUCCAUCACAAGUGACUAGAUAUAGUCCCAGUGCUACCCAGCAGGAUCUCACUGUUGAUCCAUUCCAACAAUUCAGGAAACGUUAGCGAGAUGUUCUAACAACUAAAUUAAUUAACUAAUAAAGGCAUACCUCCUUUUAUGCAACUGCCUUAUUUGUGUUAGUUUCCGCCUAGCUUUCUCUCCUAAUCUACGGAAAUGAGAGUAAUGGAGGUGAGACCAGAGAGGUGGGCAGACAGACACCGGAACAUUCGGGGCCCUGCAGGGGUCUCAGAGAAUUAGGGGUUUACCCUGAAGCCUCGGAGGAACCACCAAAGACUUGAACUCGGAACGAGCAGGCCCACAUGUGUGCUUUGGGGUCAUCACUCUCAUUGCAAAGUGGACACAGAUCAGUGUGGGUGAAACAGGGGCAAGGAGAUGCAUUUGAAGGCUGCUGUGCUCAUCCAGGUGAGAGGAGCUGGCUGUGAAAGAUGGUGGUGGAAGUAGGCUAGAGAUCACAGAAGCAACGCAUAUUCUUUCACCUCUCUUCCUAUUUCACAUGGGACUAAAUGCAAACUCACAUGUCCUAAUAAUAAGCACAUCAAACUCUUUUCAAAGUUAAAAAGCCAUCCUUAAAGCAACAAUGAGUUUUAAAGUAGAUAGCAGCCUUCUAGAAAGGAAAGGGGGAAGCGAAUUGGUGUUCUCUGCCUGGCAGUGGACAAGUGAAAGGCAGAGAAAGGCUGCUGUGUCAUUUCCUCACUUCCUGGUACCUAUGGCUGACGUUAUCCAUUACGACUAUUUAGCCUAGCUUCUAAACUCUAGUUGUGUUCCUCAGUACUUAUUUUGACAAGCGAGUUCUUCCUGAAGCCCCAGAUGCAUUGCUGUUAUGUCAAACUUUACUUCUCCCCUGUAGCAAAGAAUUUGCUCUUUUGGCUGGCAGGAUGUUUCUCAUGAAUGAGCUGGAGAGAACUCUGGGAAAUUUCUCUGUCCCUGGGUGAGGGAUUCCUUAACUGUGAAUUAUUAAGGCCAUAGAGAUGCAUCUAAAAGUAGCAGGAAUCAUCUAGAAAAUAAUGAUCUUUGAAUUUCUACAUAUUUUGCUAUUAAGUGACAUUGACUGGAACCAUAGUCUUCAAGCCUUAGUCACUGAAAAAUGUGAAUAAAAUAUACACUCAUUUUACCCUCAGCUUUUCUUCUAAGUCUGGUUUUGGCAAAC
rnacentral:lncRNA from 1 species